GCCGCGGUAGCUCAGUUGGUAAGAGCGUCGUACGCGUGAUGCGAAGACGCGGGUUCGUAUCCCGCCUACGGCC